GGAUGACACUCUCAUCUUUUGAGUUUAAUCUCUUUUUGAAUCUUUUUGAAUCAUUCGGAAUCUUUUCGAAUCCCGCCAAAUCAAGCAUAGUGAAAAGUGAGGAAACUUUUGCUUCAGUGUGCUAAGAGCACCUGUCAAAUCAGACCAGCUUCGCGCGCGGAUAAUGUUUACGAGAAGUAAAAAAAAUAAAUAAAAAAAAAAUACCAACGGCAUUUUUGGGGGAAUUUCAAUAAAAUAUGGCCGGAGCGCUCCAAAUGGAAAUACGCCAUGUAGGCGGGCUACCAUCUACGCCAGGGGCCAGGAUGAUUGAAACCUCAAGAUUUGAACCGGAAUAAGUGGUGUGAACAAGUUUUUGGAGUCGUGGACCUCCACCUGCAGGUAUGCAUUACAUUAUUGUUAUAUCAAAGAUGGAUCAACAUCUUUGCCAUAACACUCGGUUAGUGGCUGCUGUCUUUUAUCCUCGGUUUUGACCCACAUUUGCCAGACCAUUCUGCACCUGGACGCUGCCUUUCAGGUCUUUUUGUAUUAUACGGAUCUCCUGCGAACACCAGCUUUGAACGGCUGUUACCCAGCAUUCUCACAAUAUUCCCUGCCCAUCGUAUUUUUCCAGCUCUUGACACCUUCUGGAUGCUGGGUUCGCCGUAGAGUUCAGCGAGGCCGUGGACGUGGGCCGUGGAUCAUCCUUUACCGCCACACACCGUCCUGCACAUCGCCGAAUAUUUAUCGUCCUUAGCAGGCGUCGCUCGAAAACUUAGCAGGCGUCGUUCGGUCCACCUCGUGUGUGAAGGUGUCUCGAAUCGGUAUAGGGCCAUCCUAGGGGCCACCGGUUCAUAAGUAUUUUGAGCACGGUAUAUUUGGUGCGAGGAUGAAUCUAUAGGUAAGCAAGCGAUUCCAUGAACCAUUGCAAGCCAGCUCUAAUUUGAUUACCAAACAAUGGUAAACAUUAAUUUUUGAAGAAGCUACUUCGUCACCCAUCACAUCUCGUCGAAUAGAAUGGAAUCUCUUGAUUGUUAUUUGUUAUGUGUGUGUACCUAUGUGUGAAUAAAUAGUAUUGCUUGGUGGGGGUAGGGGGGUUGGGUUAGUUCCGAUGGGUAUAUAAAACAUCCGAAAUUCACUACCCGAGGGGGGGUCCCCGAUUUCUCUGGCCAAGACGAUUAAUUAUUGCCCUUUUUAUUUGCGAAGUGACUCGAAAACAGUAAGUAUACUUGUGUAAUUAGUAACUUUCUUUAAAAAUUUUGAAACUGUUUUAAAUGAAAUUUAAAAAAUCAACGGAAAAAGGUUCACCAUGUCCUCUCAAGUUAUUAGGUGAGAAAAUGCGUUUCUUGUAGAAAUAGGCCACUUCUAUACCUUUAAAUAUUUCAAAGUGAUCAAAUAUGACGUCCAUAGUUUAGGGGGAGGGGGAGAAAGUGUAACACUCCUUAUAGGUACAAGAUAUACCUCCAUACA